GCUCCAGCAUGACCCGCUUCUCCUAUGCAGAGUACUUUGCUCUGUUUCACUCUGGCUCUGCACCUUCCAGGUCCUCCUCUCCUCCCGAGAGCCCACCGGCCCGAGCACCCCUGGGCCUGUUCCAAGGGGUCAUGCAGAAGUAUAGCAGCAACCUGUUCAAGACCUCCCAGAUGGCGUAAGUGACUCCCCACCUGGCCCCAAGACCACCCAGCUCACACCUCCAGCUGAGGCCGCAGGGGGGGGGUUAGCUUUGCAGCCCUAGAUCCCCUUCCUGCUGCGUCUAGAUUCUAGUGCUCCUACUGAGCUAGGCGUGGGGGCUGCAGCCUGAUGCCCACUAGGAGUGGCAUUCAGGCUGUGCUUGGGACUGACCUCAGAUGUUUUCAGAGGUUGGGACCCUGCUGCUGGAGGAGUUCCAUGGGACUCUGAAUCUGGGGUUCCAGCAAGAGGGAGAGGUUCAAAGGACUGGUGUGUGUGUGUGUGUGUGUGUGUGUGUGUGUGUGUGUGUGUGUGUGUAGUUGACUUUCACUCCCAUUCAUCCUCCUUGUGUCUCCCCAUACCACCUCCAGGGGUUCAUCUGUGCACAUCUAAGUCUCCACCCAGGACCCUUCAUUUAAGGGCCAGGUGCCAAAGCCCAGAACUAAUCGAUUAACCGGGGCCAAGGGAGAGGGUUCUGCCUCGGGUAUGGUGCCGAUGGGAUAUUUGUGCCUCCCUCCUUGCUCUGGCUCAGAGUGGCCUUAAAAGCACUUAAAAGGGAAAAAGGGGGCCCUUUGCUGGUACCCCAUUUCUGUGUGGCAGAGAGGAGGAUACAGUUCUCAUUCUCAGCCUCUCCAAGCCCUAUGGGCACCACAUUGUCCUUGGGACUUUGGGGUUGACAAAAAAAGAAAGUUCCAGUUCUAAUCUGGGUACAACUGCCUAUCCCUGCAUGUCUGUCAC
rnacentral:lncRNA from 1 species